GAUGAACGCUGGCGGCGUGCCUAAUACAUGCAAGUCGAGCGAACAGACGAGGAUCUUGCUUCUCUGACGUUAGCGGCGGACGGGUGAGUAAAACGUGGAUAACCUACCUAUAAGACUGGGAUAACUUCCGGAAACCGUAGCUAGUACCGGAUAAUAUAUUGAACCGCAUGGUUCAAUAGCCCAAGACGGUUUUGCUGUCACUUGUAGAUGGAUCCGCGCCGCAUUAGCUAGUUGGUAAGGUAACGGCUUACCAAGGCAACGAUGCGUAGCCGACCUGAGAGGGUGAUCCGCCACACUGGAACUGAGACACGGUCCAGACGCCUACGGGAGGCAGCAGUAGGGAAUCUUCCGCAAUGGGCGAAAGCCUGAAGGAGCAACGCCGCGUGAGUGAUGAAGGUCUUCGGAUCGUAAAACUCUGUUAUUAGGGAAGAACAAAUGUGUAAUUAACUAUGCACGCCUUGACGGUACCAAAUCAGAAAGCCACGGCUAACUACGUG
rnacentral:rRNA from 1 species